rnacentral:rRNA from 1 species
GGUGAACGCGAAGAACUUUACCAGCUCUUGACAUCCCAGGAGCGGUGCAGAGAUGUACCUUCCACUUCGGUGGCCUGGAGACAGGUGCUGCAUGGCUGUCGUCAGCUCGUGUCGUGAGAUGUUGGGUUAAGUCCCGCAACGAGCGCGACCCUCGCCUUUAGUUGCCAGCAUUUAGUUGGGCACUCUAAGGGGACUGCCGGUGAUAAGCCGGAGAGGAAGGUGGGGAUGACGUCAAGUCCUCAUGGGCCUUACGGGCUGGGCUACACACGUGCUACAAUGGUGGUGACAGUGGGCAGCGAGCACGCGAGUGUGAGCUAAUCUCCCAAAGCCAUCUCAGUUCGGAUUGCACUCUGCCACUCGAGUGCAUGAAGUUGGAAUCGCUAGUAAUCGCGGAUCAGCAUGCCGCGGUGAAUACGUUCCCCGGUCUUGUACACACACACCCCA